ensembl:lncRNA
AUCUGCAACAUGCUCUGCUACUUACUGACUCCCAGUGUCUGAGUCGGUGCUAUGUCUUCUCACCCCCUCCCCCAAGGGGUGUUCAAGCAGGGUCACCCACAACAUCUGGCACCUAGAUAUGGGGCUGGUGGAUCCCGUGCUGGCAUGGGCCUUGACCCUGCUUGAAUCAGGGUUAUUCUUUUUUUCAUCACGUUGGCUGGUUUUUGGACCCUGAUCUUUGCCUUUUGUUGCUGGUGGUGCAUUGGAGGAUGGACCCUGCCUACAUCAGUGCACUUUGACUUUCUCUGUCAGCACCCUUUCAGACUCCUCUUCACACUUGUGGUGCAUUUCUGCACCCCCAAUUCGGUGACUUGUUUGAGAGUGCGUAGAUUUGACACUGUCUCCAAGGCUGCUGUGUCUGGUUGCAAUCACCAGAAAGCAUUGGCUUUCCUUGGUCACCGACCAAGCAUCUCACUGUUCAUUUCGGCUUGGCUCUAGAAGGAAGAAUUUGGUCCAACUGUUAGAACUGGCAACUUUGCCUUCCUGUGCAGAAAGUCCACUCUAAGUGAACCGUGUUCUGAGCAUCAGCUGAGACACCCCUUCUUUGCCUGCAUAGACUCAGAAGUACCUCUGUGAAGGCCCGCCCCACACGGUCAGAAGUGGCCUUUCUCCCCAGAAGCCAGCUAGAAUCACAGGCUACGGCCCUGUUUACACCGGAAAGCUGAGACAUCCCUCCCCUUUGCCAACCUCUGUUGAAUCUAUUUUCUCAUCUCCAUCCACUUGGAAGUUGGUUGACUGUCGCCAAGGAGAAAGUUGAAGAAAUAAGAUGGUGAGUGCCGACACCUCAGGCACAGGCCCUGGAAGUUUCCUGCCUAAAGACAAGCUCUCAUAGUAGCAGGAGGAGUUAUGCAAGCUGUCACAAGAGAAAAGCAACCAAUAGUGCCUGCCCAGCUGUCAAGCCUGUGAGCCACACCAAUGGCCAGCAUGGCAUGAUAUUCUGAAAGGUGACAUCCUGGGGGCAACCAACAGCCACCUAAUUGGAUUUAAGAUCUGAUUAAUGGAAGGGAUUCAUGCCCGACAUUUUAAACUCAGUCUACUACCCGUGGCUGGUGAGGCCAUGGAAUCCAGAGGAGAAUCUACUGCUGCUACUGUCUUGAACCAGUGCAAUUCGGAGCUCUAUGCUAACUGCUGACCUUGGCACCCACAGCUAAGUGUGGCUCCUACCCUGCUUCUUUUUGCAGCUGACAGAGGUCAAUACAGAAAGUCAUGACUGGUCAAAAUGCAGAGAUCAGCUAAAUGUGGGGUGCCCAGCCCCAAUUAAUACAUUCACAACACAACACAACUCCUACCCAUGGUGGGAAGAGGGGGCUGAAUGAUCUUAAAGGCCAGAGGACCAGGGCAUCUGCUGCCACGUAGUCUCUUCUAAAUUUAAAAUAAAAGGAAGAAAGAAAAUAUAAGGGUGGGAGGAAGAGGAGGUAGACCUGAGAGGAGAUGAUCAAAGCAUGUAUGAAAUUAUAAAAGAAUUAAUAGGUGGUGGUGGCGCAUGCCUUUAAUCCCAGCACUUGGGGGGUGGGGGCAGGCAGAUCUCUGUGAGUUUGAGGCCAGCCUGGUCUACAGAGCGAGCGCCAGGAUAGGCUCCAAAGCUACACAGAGAAACCCUGUCUUGAAAAACCAAACAAAAACAAAAACAAAAGAAUUAAUAAAACAUGUUAAUAGGUUAUAAAUACUGAAAUAAAUAGGGAUAGACUACUUUUCCAGUCUGAAUUUGAAAUGCUCCUCACAGAUGUGUAUAUCAAAUUCCUGCUCUUCCAGCUGGCGGCAUUAUUUUGAGAGUCUGUGAGAAAUUUAGGUGGUGGAGCCCAGCUGCAAGGAGGAGGCCCCUCUGACUUGUCUUGUCCUAUCCAUUUCCUGCUGGUGGUCCAGUCUAAUUGUCUGCCAUGGAAUGAACCACCUCUCUUUCCAUGGGGUCCUGCCACCAUGAUGUCCUGCCCAAGUUCAUGGAGUAAGGUUGACCUCUCUGAAGCCACCGUGAGAAGUCUUUCCCCUGUUAUAAUGCUUCUGCCAGGGGUUUUGGUGAUAGCCAUGUGAAUGUAACUAAUAAAACUGGGCAGGACUCAAUUCUCUUAGUAAUCCUAUUUUCCCUGCUUUUUAAAAGGCCUAGACACCAAGGAUCAGACACAUCCAAUAGCUUCUACCAGAUUGUAUAUCCUGCAGUUGAUACGUGGAGUAGCCAAGACCCAAUCUCAGAAAGCCCAGUGCCAGAGACAGUUUUGCUUUGCAUUCUGUAAUUGGUCUCACCUGGUGCCAGCUGAAUAUUUUUUUUUGUCUGUUGUCAUCAGGAGAGACAAUGACUAGCCCAGAAAUGGCAGAUUGGCUUCAUCAUGUAUGCAAACUCUGAAUGCUUUGCCAUGGCUGCCUGGAGCAUGGGGUUGAAAAAGAACCAGCUCUGGCAAGAGGUGGUUGAUUAACGGCGUGUGCCAUUCCAGACAAGAAGUAACAGCGGGAGUGCCUCAUCUCCGCUGUCUCCAGACCAUUCCAUUGAAACAUUUAGAUUCCGGUUCCUCCAGUCAUUCUCAGCCUUCCUGGGAGUGAGCUCUGACUCUCCUCUAACUCUACUCUCUCACCAUUCAUCUCUUCAGCACUUGUACUCAUUGCCUUUGUGUCUCAGCAUUCUCUAAAACCCUGCCUCCCUUCCCACGCCCUGGCUGUGUGUAUGGCUGCUUCUUCCAGUAUGAACUUGUUUAUAACAUCAGCCUCAUUCAUCUUCAUUUUCCCAGGGUGUCUCUGUGCUGUGGUGUGUGGUUCAAUAUUUCUGAAAAAGUCAGAUGGAUCCCAAGACUUCUGCCAGACUCUGAACUUGGAGGCGGGCAGGGGAAUCCAUCCUUGGUCCCUGUCUACUCUAGAGUCUAGCGAGGAUCUGUGCAGUUGGAUACUUGAUCAUUCUUGGUUGUGAGCCUAGCCUUUUACAUCUGAGCCAUCUCUCCAGCCCUUUGACACUCAAGAAAAUGUUUAUUAAAUAAGUGAAUGGAUGACUGGACAGUGUUCUUUGUUUUUUUUUUUUUUUUUUUUUGAAUGUUUCCCAUCUUGGAGUCUUUGGGGUCAUUUAUUUCCGAGUUCUCCAAGGAACUAUUGUGUAGACAAUGCCUUCUUAAAAAGUUGUGGAGACAGGAUUUUUGUGGUUGAGCAAUCUGAGGCUUCUAGCACAAACACUUGGCUCACAAACAGUAAAGAUAGCAGUAAUCACAGCAUGUACUGGGCUAACAAUCUUUUUUUUUUUUUGGCAGAUUUUUUUUUAUUUGAAUUAGAAACAAGAUUGUUUUACAUGUCAAUCCCAGUUCCCUCUCCUUCCCCUCUUCCCCUACCCCCCACAACUAAAACCCUACCUAUCACAUAUCCUUUCUGCUCCCCCUGGAGGGUGAGGCCUUCCUUAGGGUGUCAUCAG